UGACACCAUUAGCAUGAACAAGCAUCACAGGGGCCUGGCCAGGCUUCUGCUGGUGCCAGCUAGCAUAAUUGGAUAUUCCUUGGCAGGUGAUCGUGGCCGUCUGUCCCAAGGCCACAGAGACUGACUGUGGUUGACUCGGCUCAGCUGUGACCACUGAACCUGCAAGAGGAGAGGAGAAGAGAGGUAAUAGUGACCAUAUCUCCCAAGGCUACAGAGACUUCCUGUGGUUGACUCAGCUCAGCAGUGACCACUGAACAUGCAAGAGGAGAGGAGAAGAGAGGGAGGAUAACACAUUCGGGCUGGGCUGCGCUUAAAGCCAGAGUGUGGGGACCAUGGUCAACCAUGUGAGACUCCGGAUUCCAUCACCAUCCACAAAACUGGCGAGACCCCAUCAGAUGGGACUUUCAUUGGUUUAUAUUUUUGAGAAAAAUCCAGAAAGAAUUCAUUAGACUCUAG